AUUGAACGCUGGCGGCAGGCCUAACACAUGCAAGUCGAGCGAGAGGCGGACGGGUGAGUAAUGUAUGGGGAUCUGCCCGAUAGCGGGGGAUAACUACUGGAAACGGUAGCUAAUACCGCAUACCAUCAGAUGAACCCAUAUGGGAUAAGCUUGUAGGUGAGGUAACGGCUCACCUAGGCGACGAUCCCUAGCUGGUCGAAGAGGAUGAUCAGCCACACGGGGACUGAGAAACGGCCCAGACUCCUACGGUAGGCAGCAGUGGGGAAUAUUGUGCAAUGGGCGCAAGCCGGAUGAAGCCAUGCGGCGGGUAGGAAGCGGGCCUUCGGGUUGUAAAGUACUUUCAGGCGGGAGGCGUUACCGGCAGAGGAAGCACCGGCUAACUCCGUGCCAGCAGCCGCGGUAAUAC
rnacentral:rRNA from 1 species